AUUCUACUCCCUCCGUUGCACAAUACAUGCCUUCUAUUUGUGAAAAUAUAUAUGUAUCUAGACAUGUCUUAGUAUAUAGGUACAUCCAUUUUUGGACAAAUGGAAGUCAAGUAUUUUGGAACGGAGGGAGUACACA
rfam:Triticum aestivum genome assembly, contig: Triticum_aestivum_CS42_TGACv1_scaffold_001545_1AL